rnacentral:rRNA from 1 species
AUUGAACGCUGGCGGAAGGCCUAACACAUGCAAGUCGAGCGAGCGGCGGACGGGUGAGUAAUGUCUGGGAAACUGCCUGAUGGAGGGGGAUAACUACUGGAAACGGUAGCUAAUACCGCAUACCAUCAGAUGUGCCCCGCUGGGGUUAGCUAGUAGGUGGGGUAACGCCUCACCUAGGCGACGAUCCCUAGCUGGUAGGAGUGGAUGACCAGGCACACCUGAACUGAGACACGGGCCAGCCUCCUACGGGAGGCAGCAGUGGGGAAUAUUGCACAAUGGGCGCAAGCCUGAUGCAGCCAUGCCGCGGGUGUGAAGAAGGCCUUCGGGUUGUAAAGCACUUUCAGCGGGGAGGCGUUACCCGCAGAAGAAUCACCGGCUGACUCCGUGCCGGCCACCGCGGUAAUUC